rnacentral:ncRNA from 1 species
AAUAAAAUUUUUUAUAGUUUAAAAAUUUAUUAUAAAUUUAUUUUACAUAUAAAUUUUAGUGUUAAUUUUUAAUUUAUUUAAAUAAUAAUUAAUAUUUAUUUGUAGUAAUUAAAAUUAAAAAUUUAAGUAAUUAAGAUUUAGUAAUAUUUAAAUUAAUAACAAAUUUUGUGCCAGCAGUUGCGGUUAUACAAAAAUUAAAUUAAAUUUUUUUAGGGAUUAAUUAAUAAUGAAUUAUAUAAUAAAAUUAAAAUUUAAAUUAUUAAGUGAAAUUUUAAUUUAUGAAAAUUUUAUAUUGAAUUAUGAAUUAAAAAAUUUUAUUAAAAACUAGGAUUAGAUACCCUAUUAUUAAAAAUUUAAAUUAAUAAUACUAAAAUAGUAUAUAAUUAUUUAUAAAAACUUAAAUAAUUUGGCGGUAUUUUUGUUUAUUUAGAGGAAUCUGUUUAUUAAUUGAUAUUCCACGAAUAAAUUUACUUAAUUUAUUUAAUUUUGUAUAUCGUUGUUAUAAAAAUAUUUUAAAAUAAUAAUAAUAUUUUAAUUUUUAUAUUAAAAGUUAAAUCAGAUCAAGAUGCAGAUUAUAAUUAAGAAUAUAAUGGAUUACAAUAAAUUUAUUUAAUUGGAUAUUAUUUUUAAAAAUUAAUUGAAAUUGGAUUUAAAUGUAAUUUUAUUUAAUUUAUUAAAAUGAUUUUAAUUUAAAAUAUGUACAUAUUGCCCGUCGCUUUCAUUAAUAAAUUGAAAUAAGUCGUAACAAAGUAGAGGUACUGGAAAGUGUUUCUAGAAAGAGUA